rnacentral:rRNA from 1 species
UACGAAGGGGGCUAGCGUUGCUCGGAAUCACUGGGCGUAAAGGGUGCGUAGGCGGGUUCUUAAGUCAGAGGUGAAAUCCUGGAGCUCAACUCCAGAACUGCCUUUGAUACUGAGAGUCUUGAGUAUGACAGAGGUGAGUGGAACUGCGAGUGUAGAGGUGAAAUUCGUAGAUAUUCGCAAGAACACCAGUGGCGAAGGCGGCUCACUGGGUCAUUACUGACGCUGAGGCACGAAAGCGUGGGGAGCAAACGGG